CUCAGGUGUUGAUGCCCCUGCUCAGAGAGCACAAUACCCACCCAGCCCUGGGCAGGGCUGGUUUGUCUGCUGGGACCUGCAAGCUGUGGCUUAUCCUCCAGGGCUUCACCGAGGAGACUUCCUUGGGUUUAUAAAUGACUGCAUUUCCCUUCGGCAUGACAGCUGCAGCUUCACCUCUUCUCGUGUGAACCUGGAGUCAGAAGGCUGUGUAAAAACAACUUGGAAUAAUCUUGAAACCCAUAGAGGGCCAAGCCAGAGAAAAGGAGCCAACACCUUUGGGCAAAGAAAACCAGAAAAUCUGCGGAGAAGAGCCAGGAAGAAGGGAGGGAAUAUAUUUUCAUGGAAAAAUCUACCUCUAAAACAACAUGCUCUCCUGAAAAGAAAUGCUUUAGGGUUUGAUCAGAGUCUUGAGAGGAGCGAGUCCAAGGAAUAGCAGCCACUUGUUUUAUACACAAGCUACUGGAAAACAGACAGGAUCUCUUCAUUUAGCUGAGAUGGC
rnacentral:lncRNA from 1 species